AACGAACGCUGGCGGCAUGCCUAACACAUGCAAGUCGAACGAGACCUUCGGGUCUAGUGGCGCACGGGUGCGUAACACGUGGGAAUCUGCCCUUUGCUUCGGAAUAACAGUUAGAAAUGACUGCUAAUACCGGAUGAUGUCGAAAGACCAAAGAUUUAUCGGCAAAGGAUGAGCCCGCGUAGGAUUAGGUAGUUGGUGGGGUAAAGGCCUACCAAGCCGACGAUCCUUAGCUGGUCUGAGAGGAUGAUCAGCCACACUGGGACUGAGACACGGCCCAGACUCCUACGGGAGGCAGCAGUGGGGAAUAUUGGACAAUGGGCGAAAGCCUGAUCCAGCAAUGCCGCGUGAGUGAUGAAGGCCUUAGGGUUGUAAAGCUCUUUUACCAGGGAUGAUAAUGACAGUACCUGGAGAAUAAGCCCCGGCUAACUCCGUG
rnacentral:rRNA from 1 species